rnacentral:lncRNA from 1 species
GGGGACAGUUCGACUAAUUAGUAAAUUAUUUACUACUUACAUUUUUUAUCUAACCAUAUACUUGCUUUUUUUAUAUAUUAUCAUACGAAAUGACUACAAUACACAAAAUCCUCUUUUUUUAGGUUGAUUUUAUGUCUCAGAUUGGUUCGAUUUGCGGAAUGUAUCUUGAUCCUGUGAAUCUUGCAUAGUAUGCUCUUCCGGAACUAACAGCAAUUCAUGAGAAGGCAUUUGCGAUAUUACAGUACUUGAAUCAAGGACAUAAAAUGAUACGUGGUUCAUUUGAUCAUCAAGAUGUUGGCCCAUUUGCCUCU